CNGAGCGUUGUCCGGAUUUAUUGGGCGUAAAGGGAGCGCAGGCGGUUUAGUAAGUCUGAANUUAAAGGCAUUGGCUCAACCAANGUAUGCUUUGGAAACUGUUAGACUNGAGUGCAGAAGGGGAGAGUGGAAUUCCAUGUGUAGCGGUGAAAUGCGUAGAUAUAUGGAGGAACACCGGUGGCGAAAGCGGCUCUCUGGUCUGUCACUGACGCUGAGGCUCGAAAGCGUGGGUAGCGAACAGGAUUAGAUACCCUGGUAGUCCACGCCGUAAACGCUGAGUGCUAGGUGUUAGGUCCUUUCCGGGACUUAGUGCCGACGCUAACGCAUUAAGCACUCCGCCUGGGGAGUACGACCGCAAGGUUGAAACUCAAAGGAAUUGACGGGGGCCCGCACAAGCGGUGGAGCAUGUGGUUUAAUUCGAAGCAACGCGAAGAACCUUACCAGGUCUUGACAUCCCGAUGCCCGCUCUAGAGAUAGAGUUUUUCUUCGGAACAUCGGAGACAGGUGGUGCAUGGUUGUCGUCAGCUCGUGUCGUGAGAUGUUGGGUUAAGUCCCGCAACGAGCGCAACCCUUAUUGUUAGUUGCCAUCAUUAAGUUGGGCGCUCUAGCGAGACUGCCGGUAAUAAACCGGAGGAAGGUGGGGAUGACGUCAAAUCAUCAUGCCCCUUAUGACCUGGGCUACACACGUGCUACAAUGGUUGGUACAACGAGUCGCAAGCCGGUGACGGCAAGCUAAUCUCUGGAAGCCAAUCUCAGUUCGGAUUGUAGGCUGCAACUCGCCUACAUGAAGUCGGAAUCGCUAGUAAUCGCGGAUCAGCACGCCGCGGUGAAUGCGUUCCCGGGCCUUGUACACACCGCCCGUCACACCACGAGAGUUUGUAACACCCAAAGUCGGUGAGGUAACCAUUUAUGGGGCCAGCCGC
rnacentral:rRNA from 1 species